rnacentral:rRNA from 1 species
GACGAACGCUGGCGGCGUGCUUAACACAUGCAAGUCGAACGCUGAAGACCUGGCCUUUGUUCGGUUGGGUGAGUGGCGAACGGGUGAGUAACACGUGAGUAACCUGCCCUCUUCUCUGGGAUAACGUCCGGAAACCGGUGCUAAUACUGGAUAUUCAUUGAACUCCGAAUGUGCGAUGGUGGAAAGGUUUGUUCCGGUGGCGGAUGGGCUCGCGGGCUAUGCGCUUGUUGGUGGGGAUAUGGCCUACCAAGGCUUUGAAGGGUGGCCGGCCUGAGGGGGAGACCGGUCACAUUGGCACUGACAUACGGCCCAGACUGCUACGGGAGGCAGCAGUGGGGAAUAUUGCACAAUGGGCGAAAGCCUGAUGCAGCGACGCCGCGUGAGGGAUGGAGGCCUUCGGGUUGUAAACCUCUUUCGCUCAUGGUCAAGCCGCAACUGUGGGUUGUGGUGAGGUUAGUGAGUAAAGAAGCGCCGGCUAACUACGUG